GAUGAACGCUGGCGGCGUGCCUAAUACAUGCAAGUCGAGCGAACAGACGAGGAGCUUGCUCCUCUGACGUUAGCGGCGGACGGGUGAGUAACACGUGGAUAACCUACCUAUAAGACUGGGAUAACUUCGGGAAACCGGAGCUAAUACCGGAUAAUAUAUUGAACCGCAUGGUUCAAUAGUGAAAGACGGUUUUGCUGUCACUUAUAGAUGGAUCCGCGCCGCAUUAGCUAGUUGGUAAGGUAACGGCUUACCAAGGCAACGAUGCGUAGCCGACCUGAGAGGGUGAUCGGCCACACUGGAACUGAGACACGGUCCAGACUCCUACGGGAGGCAGCAGUAGGGAAUCUUACGCAAUGGGCGGAAGCCUGACGGAGCAACGCCGCGUGAGUGAUGAAGGUCUUCGGAUCGUAAAACUCUGUUAUUAGGGAAGAACAAAUGUGUAAGUAACUAUGCACGUCUUGACGGUACCUAAUCAGAAAGCCACGGCUAACUACGUG
rnacentral:rRNA from 1 species